UUAGUGAAUACUGUAUACACCACUCUGUUAGUGAAUACUGUAUACACCACUCUGUUAGUGAAUACUGUUUACACCACUCUGCUGAUAGUGAAUACUGUAUACACCACUCUGCUAAUAGUGAAUACUGUAUACACCGCUCUGUUAGUGAAUACUGUAUACACCACUUUGUUAGUGAAUACUGUAUACAGUACACUCUGCUAAUAGUGAAUACUGUAUACAGUAUACUCUGUUAAUAGUGAAUACUGUAUACACCACUCGGUUAGUGAAUACUGUUUACACCACUCUGUUAGUGAAUACUGUAUACACCACUCUGUUAGUGAAUACUGUAUACACCACUCUGUUAGUGAAUACUGUAUACACCACUCUGUUAGUGAAUACUGUAUACACCACUCUGUUAGUGAAUACUGUAUACACCACUCUGUUAGUGAAUACUGUUUACACCACUCUGCUGAUAGUGAAUACUGUAUACACCACUCUGCUGAUAGUGAAAACUGUAUAGUGAUCAAUCGCUGACAGUCCUGCACAGAUUAUCACUAUAUGCGAAGUGCUCUGUAUUUCAGUUUAUGAAAAAGCACCUAAGUAUCCAUAUAUAACGACUAUAUGAAUUUGAAAUGAAAUAUACUAUACUCUAUUUUUGUGUGUAAAUCGUCACAGUUGUUUGUGGUGGACUACAGUGCUAUAUGAGGUAUUUAUGGAUUCAUAUACUGUAUUUUUAUGUUCUGUGAACGCUCUAAAAGACUCUGGGUUGAGGUCAGUGAUAAAGAUAAAAUAUUGGAUGGAGUUUGAAACAAACACAAGCAUGGAACCAAACAAUUCAACUAACUGUAACAUGGAGUUCAGUUACAUUUGUUAAAUGUUGAAUAAAGUAUAAAUAAAACUAUUAAGAAUAUGUAUUUAUCAGUUUGCCCUAUUUCAUCUAUUCACAACAACUGUGUGUUUGCCUGUUUGCCAUAGAAGGUUUAUAGAACCUCUCCCUAUGGCUGUGACUGGUGAACUAAAGGGUACACUCAAUAUGGCUGACCUGGUAGAGGAUUUCCAUUCUAGAGAUUAUAUUUCUAUGGCUAGCCUGCUUUCUCACAGUACAAGAUUAGUAUGUGACAGGCGAGCCGACUGAGAGAUGACGAGCAGCAGACGAUCGNNNNNNNNNNAACCCUGUUCCUGGAGAGUUACUGUACCAUCCUGUAGGUUCUCUCUCCAACCCUGUUCCUGGAGAGUUACUGUACCGUCUUGUAGGUUCUCUCUCCAACCCUGUUCCUGGACAGUUAUCGUACCAUCCUGUAGGUUCUCUCUCCAACCCUAACCUAGCGCACCUGACUCUUGUAAUUAGCUGGUUAAUAAGUUGAAUCAGGUUAGUUACAACUGGAAUUGGAUUGAAAACCUACAGGAGGGUAUCUCUCCGGGAACAGGGUUGGAGUUAAAACCUACAUGACGGUAGCUCUUCAGGAACAGGGUUGGAAAGAGAACCUACAGGA
rnacentral:lncRNA from 13 species